rnacentral:rRNA from 1 species
UAGGGAAUAUUGGGCAAUGGGCGAGAGCCUGACCCAGCCAUGCCGCGUGCCGGAUGAAGGCCUUCUGGGUUGUAAACGGCUUUUCUCAGGGAAGAAAAAGAGGAUGCGUCCUAAACUGACGGUACCUGAGGAAUAAGCACCGGCUAACUCCGUGCCAGCAGCCGCGGUAAUACGGAGGGUGCAAGCGUUGUCCGGAUUUAUUGGGUUUAAAGGGUGCGUAGGUGGCCCGUUAAGUCCGGGGUGAAAGCCCACAGCUCAACUGUGGAACUGCCCUGGAUACUGGCGGGCUUGAGUCCAGACGAGGUUGGCGGAAUGGAAGAUGUAGCGGUGAAAUGCAUAGAUAUCUUCCAGAACCCCGAUUGCGUAGGCAGCUGACUAGGCUGGUACUGACACUGAGGCACGAAAGCGUGGGGAGCGAACA